GACGAACGCUGGCGGCGUGCUUAACACAUGCAAGUCGAACGGAAAGGCCCUGCUUUUGUGGGGUACUCGAGUGGCGAACGGGUGAGUAACACGUUAGUAACCUGCCCUUGACUUUGGGAUAACUUCAGGAAACUGGGGCUAAUACCGGAUAGGAGCUACUGCUGCAUGGUGGGGGUUGGAAAGUGUCGGCGGUUUGGGAUGGACGCGCGGCUUAUCAGCUUGUUGGUGGGGUAGUGGCUUACCAAGGCUUUGACGGGUAGCCGGCCGGAGAGGGUGACCGGCCACAAUGGGACGGAGAAACGGCCCAGACUCCUACGGGAGGCAGCAGUGGGGAAUAUUGCACAAUGGGCGGAAGCCUGAUGAAGCAACGCCGCGUGCGGGAUGAGGGCCUUCGGGUUGUAAACCGCUUUCGCCUGUGACGAAGCGUGAGUGACGGUAAUGGGUAAAGAAGCACCGGCUAACUACGUG
rnacentral:rRNA from 1 species